UUAUCCACAAUCUUCAUCACCUAAAGAGUCUACUUCAAUGCUUUGCCUCCCACCAAAAAGUCUUUUAGACUCUCCUUGAUGCCAUUUUGUAACUGCACCACCUACGAUUGAUCAGCGGUAAGCAACCAGCAACAAGUGUUCAAAGUCACCACCAAUAAGAUCAUCUGUGUUUUUUAAAGCCAGUAAUCAAGUUAAGCUCCUUCAAACUGGCAAGCCAUAACCCCAAACCGUAAUUCCCCUCCAAAACUGCUUUGGUAUGACCUGCUAAGCUACUUCACAACAAAAUUAGUUUUUCCUACAAUGCUCAAUGUCUUAACCAUAGUUGUAUGUUGUUGAACAGUCCCUUUUGAUCACUCUAGAUGCGCUACCGAACUGGAACCCCUAGAUUAACCUAGUAGUCCCUGAUGGAAGGAGUAUCCAUAUUUAGUACUACUGGAUACUACAGGAAGAUGGCAACAUCGCAUUGACGUGAGGUUUGUCAUAGUUCUACCGAAUGUAACAAAUCAUUCAAGACUCCAUUCUCUUUUUUAAUCACAAAGGCAACUCCGAUUUCCAAAUCUGUAUCUUUAAUUUUGGUAGUCUCGAAAAUACCUACCAGCCCCACCAGUUCGAAGGACAACCCUCUGAAACUAGAGGUAAGUUCAAGGGUAGCAAAUGUAUCAUCAAUCCUUCAUCUGAGAGGGCUAAAGCUAUUGUCGUAAAAUUCAACACCAAAUGCCUCUUCUUUGUAAUGGAUCUAACUAGCUCCAUAUUGUGCUCACACUUGUUGCCAAACAUGCCGCACCUGAGUCAUUUCACAUGUCAAAAGCACUCAAUCCAACUUGCACAUGGCCACAUUGAGGUUACAACACGCUACACCAGAUACAGUUGUAGAAGAGACAGUAGCUUUGGGGUAAUUUCUGGAGUGUGGGCAGAUUUUGCUCGCUUGUGCAACUUCAAGCUCGGAUGUGUUGGAGUGUUCGAGGUUGUCAUCCUCAGACCGGUGACAAUCCAUAUGGUCCAAACCUUCUUGGCAGUUGGAAGCUAAUGAAUAUAUACAUCCUUUUCGUACUUUAUAAGACUCUCAAUAUGUAGGUUACACUAUUAUUUAACUUCGACAUUGCUGCUGAUACACUACAUUAAGUAUUUUAGAAAACUAUCUCACUAGUUACAGGCGGUUUGUUUCCUCUUGUUUAUGGCCAUUACAGCCUAAAUUACUAAGAAAAUAUGAUUUAUAAAACUUACCAGCCUAGUGUGGUCCAUCUUCUGUUCUCUUCUUCUAUGAUUACACUAGUUAUUGUACCAAAUAAGUUACGUAAUACAAGUCCUACACAU